rnacentral:rRNA from 1 species
AAGGGCACCACAAGAACGCGUGGAGCAUGUGGCUUAAUUUGACUCAACGCGGGAAAUCUUACCGGGUCCGGACACACUGAGGAUUGACAGGCAAUAUUAUAAUUUUUUAAUUGAAAUAAAUUUUUAUUAAUUUAUUUUUUUUAUUUUUUAUAUGUUAAAUAUGCUAGUCCUUUCAUGAUUAUGUGAUAGGUGGUGCAUGGCCGUUCUUAGUUCGUGGAGUGAUCUGUCUGCUUAAUUGCGUUUCACUAUUGGGCUUAUAUAAUUACGUAUGUUGUUAACGCUUUGACCCCUUUCUACGGAUUGUGCGUGUCUUUGUCUCGUUUAACUCAUACAAUUAAGCCCUGAAAGCAACGAACGUGACCGCAACCUCUUGUUGCUCUCAUAUUACCUUAUACUGCAUAAUAUUUGAAUAAUUUAUUUUAUUUUUUUUUAUGUUUAAGAGAGCUUUCUAAACUAGAGGGACCGCUGUUACUUCCUUAAACCAGAGGAAGGUUGCGGCAAUAACAGGUCUGUGAUGCCCUUAGAUGUUCCGGGCUGCACACGUGCUACAAUGAUUAUUGCAGUGAGCAUCUCAUUUUUUACACAUCGCAUGCGCGAGUCCAUUUAUUCAGAUAUCUUUCAUUACUUUCGGGUAGUGUAGUGUUUGCUUUAAAUGUGUAUCUCUGCGCGCGAUAAAGCCUGCUUCGAAAGUAAGUGGGUAAUCAAUUAGAAGUAAUGAUUUCCUUUUUUUUUCUGCACACAUAUAUAUGGCACUUAUACCCGGGUAACCUUGUUGUUACUUUUGUGCGUAUACGUGAUAAUCUUUACCGAUUAUACUACCAUAUGUGCAAUUGUCAAUUCAUGGUGGGGACAGACCAUUGUUAAUUGUUGGUCUCGGUCUUAACUAGGAAUGCCUUGUACGGAUCUUUGGUUCAACAAACCAUCCGGAAUACUCCCUGCCCUUUGUACACACCCCGUC